ACAGCGCGAGGCCACUGUUCAUCCGAUCAAAUGCCGUAAGCAUUGGCGCUCGGUUGGAGCGAAGGAAGCCAUUGGAGUUGCCCUUGAUACGUAUUAAGCGACAGUAGGGGGGGCCUUUGUUUCCCUAGAAAGGAAAGUGUCGCAGAAAUUUUUGAGAGACCGACCAAGAGAGAACGAGAAAGCUAUGGGAUCGAAUGCGAAGAUGAUGGACGCCGUGAGAGCGGAUGCACCUGUCGAUGAGGAGGACGAUUUCCUUCCUGCAUCGGAGAGGGAUCGUGGGAGGGUCGUUGGCCUCGUUCUCGUUGACAUCGUCAAUGGAUUCUGCACAGUCGGAGCCGGCAACCUCGCUCCACGUGAACCUAAUAAACAAAUAGCCACUAUGGUCGAGGAGGCAUCAAGGCUGGCAAAGGCAUUCUGUGAGAGGAAUUGGCCUGUUUUUGCUUUUCUCGACUCUCAUUACCCAGAUAAACCAGAGCCCCCAUACCCUCCUCAUUGUAUAAUUGGCUCUGGAGAAGAUAAUCUUGUUCCAGCUCUACAGUGGUUAGAGAAGGAUCCAAAUGUGACAUUAAAGCGUAAGGAUUGUAUUGAUGGAUUCAUUGGCUCAACGGAGAAGGAUGGUUCUAAUCUAUUUGUUGACUGGGUGAAAACAAAUGACAUCAAAGUUGUGAGUUUUAGUCCUCGGUAUAUGCACCGAUAUUUGUGUUUUGGACUUUACUUGCUCUAUUUUAUCAGCUCGAAAUAUUGGUCGGAUUCUCCCGCUGGAAGAUGUAGUGAUUUAUUCACAUGGAUGUGCUACCUAUGAUCUUCCCAUUCAUGUCGCUAAACAUAUCAAAGGAGCCUUAGCUCAUCCCCAGGAAUUGCUUCAUCAUAUGGGACUUUAUGUGGCCAAGGGAAGGGGAGCCAGAAUUGUGAACAGUGUAUCCAUUGACUAAGAAGAACUAGCGAGCACAGUUCUUCACAUUCUGUCAGGUUAAUUCCUGCCAAGCUCUGCAUCUUUUUUCUAUAUUCUUCUCCAGUUGGUUGUAAAUCACUCAUGUUCUCCGUUGUCGACUCAUGGUUGUUGUAUAAAAAUAAACUUCUCUAGUUGGUUGUCAUCAUAAAUAAAUUUGUACUCAUGAUGGCUUUCAAAUUA